rnacentral:tRNA from 1 species
AGUCCUGAGGUGUUUGUCACGUAAGAAUGCAAAUCUUAAGGAGCAGACUAACGUCUGCCGGGGCUU